CCUACGGGGGGCAGCAGUGGGGAAUAUUGCACAAUGGGGGGAACCCUGAUGCAGCGACGCCGCGUGAGUGAAGAAGUAUUUCGGUAUGUAAAGCUCCAUCAGCAGGGAAGAAGAUGACGGUACCUGACUAAGAAGCCCCGGCUAACUACGUGCCAGCAGCCGCGGUAAUAAGUAGGGGGCAAGCGUUAUCCGGAUUUACUGGGUGUAAAGGGGGCGUAGACGGCAGGGCAAGUCUGGAGUGAAAGCGCGGGGCCCAACCCCGGGACUGCUUUGGAAACUGCCAUGCUAGAGUGCUGGAGAGGUAAGCGGAAUUCGUGGUGUAGCGGUGAAAUGCGUAGAUAUUAGGAGGAACACCGGUGGCGAAGGCGGCUUACUGGACAGUAACUGACGUUGAGGCUCGAAAGCGUGGGGAGCGAACAGGAUUAGAUACCCUAGUAGUC
rnacentral:rRNA from 1 species